AACUGAUAUAACAGAAAUAUAGUUAGAGGGGUAUUAUUGUAAUUAGGUUAUAUGGCUAUAUAAGGGAUUAUAUAACAAUCAUUUCAGUAAGUUCAUUUAUAUACAUUUUCUCUAAUCAAUCAAUACAAUCUCUUUUGUUGCUCUUUACCAAUUCUUUCUCUUCCUCUGUACCAAUCUUCAUCUUUUGCAAUGUAGUUAAUAUGGUAUCAGAGCCACCAGGCUAACACCAUUGAUUCUGGUGGUUCCAUUUCUCAUUAUUUUUCAUCUGUUUCUAGCUUAGUUUCUUUCCAAAUUUCUAUUAGAUUUUCUUUGGUGCUUUCGCAAUCGUUCUUCUAAUUCUGGGUUGAUGCGGGUCCUAAGUUUCUCGAACUGGGUCUGGAUGAAAGUUGGGUUUGCGGAUCUGGGUCGGGAUAUUUGAAGAAUGGUGUUCUAGUCAUGUGGGUUUUGGCGGUUGGCGGCGAGUAGGUCGUCGCUGACGAUACGGAUUUGGUCGGAGCCGGAGUUUUUUGGUGUUGUUCUGCUUGUCAAGGGCUCUUCUCUCGCCCUAUCUACUGUGUCUCAGACCAGGGAGCUAUACAAACGGAUUGACAAGCUCGUCGAGUACUCCGCCAACAACGGCCCGGAGUUCGUAGCCAUGAUCCGGGAGAAGAAUUCAUCCCCAUCUUUCUUGCUUGGCUUUGAUGGCAGACCGGCCUUCACGAAUGGGCACAGUGGCGUCCCCAUCUUCUUCUUCUUUCUAUCGACUGUUCGAAUUUUGUUGCUUCCCUUGCGAUUUUGCUAAACUUUAUCCAGCUCCAGGAUAAGCCGACGUUUGGGUUCUGUUCGGAAUUUCUCUUCUGUGUUGCUGAUUGAACAGUGGGAUCUUGGACUUUGUCAAGUUGUUUCUUGUAUCUGUCAUCUUCUUUAUGCAUAUAUGGUGUUUGUGAAAAUGUCUGAAUGAAACUAAAUGCCGCAAUGAGAUCAGUGAUCUAGAGAUUUGGUUCCUUCUUCUGCUAUUCUGCUCUGCGAUCUACCAAUCUGCUUAGGUUUUUGUCGCCCAUCUGCAUUUCCAUUGCGGGGUCUAUUCAUCUGGGUCCAGAUCGAACUGUUUGGUGACUGCCGAUGGUUGCAGUGCUUUGUGAGCAACAUACUACCGACGUCUUUAUUGGAAAAUUGAUUUAGCAGAUGGGAAAUGGAUGAGUCAAUGGAAGAGGCGGCGAACAGAGAGACGCUUGAGGAAGCUGGUGUGAUUGGCCAUCUUGAAACUAGAUUGGGAUCGUGGAUUUACAAGAGCACAAUCGCAAGGAUGACAUUUUACAUCUUGAGAGCGAGACUUUAGAUGAUUUUGGUGAUGUUACAGGCACUAGGAGCAGGCACGGAACUGGGCAGACAGUUGGAAACCAGUAAUUGCAGAUCAGUCUCAAAUACCUGGCUAGUUCAAACUUCACUUGGAUACUCCAAGUUUAGUUUGAGGGGGGAGUAAUAACUGAUAUAACAGAAAUAUAGUUAGAGGGGUAUUAUUGUAAUAGGUAUAUGGCUAUAUAAGGGAUUGUAUAACAAUCAUUUCAGUAAGUUCAUUUGUAUACAUUUUCUUUAAUCAAUCAAUACAAUCUCUUUUGUUGCUCUUUA